rnacentral:rRNA from 1 species
CUACGGGCCGCAGCAGUGGGGAAUAUUGCACAAUGGGGGAAACCCUGAUGCAGCAACGCCGCGUGGAGGAUGACACAUUUCGGUGCGUAAACUCCUUUUAUAGGUCAAGAUAAUGACGGUAGCCUAUGAAUAAGCGCCGGCUAACUCCGUGCCAGCAGCCGCGGUAAUACGGAGGGCGCAAGCGUUACUCGGAAUCACUGGGCGUAAAGAGCAUGUAGGCGGGUUAAUAAGUCAGAAUUGAAAUCCAAUAGCUCAACUAUUGAACUGCUUUUGAAACUGUUAACCUAGAGUGUGGGAGAGGUAGAUGGAAUUUCUGGUGUAGGGGUAAAAUCCGUAGAGAUCAGAAGGAAUACCGAUUGCGAAGGCGAUCUACUGGAACAUUACUGACGCUGAGAUGCGAAGGCGUGGGGAGCAAACAGGAUUAGAUACCCUCGUAGUC